rnacentral:lncRNA from 1 species
GGAGGGCUCACAGGCUGACGUCUCCGUUCAGGUUGGUGUUGUAUGUGUCCCAGAUCCUCCUGACAGUCCUGUAACAUGGGCUGGAGUUCUUCCUGGGGAGAAGGGGUGAGAGUGGCAGUUGACUGAUGACUAUAGGAGACUGCGGCUGGAGAGGAAGCUGCUCCUCGGACAGGUGGAGUAGGACCUCGCUCAUCUUCUUCCUCUUCCUCUAGCUCAUCUUGCUGCAGAUACAUCCUUGCAGGUGGGACUGGACAUGGAAUUUCUUGGUCAUAGCUAAAAUUAUUUUUUUAAGAAAAUAAGGACUUAUAUUUUUACUGUGUAAUUAGCAUAUUUGAUACAUGUAUAAAUAGCUCAGGGAAAAAAAAUAUUUAUUAUAUGCACUCUUGAAAAC